AUCUGCCUUUUGGUUUGGAAUAACACGGGGAAACCUGUGCUAAUACCGGAUAAGCCUUUACAGGGAAAGUUUUAACGCCAAAAGAUGAGCCCGCACUUGAUUAGCUAGUUGGUAAGGUAAUGGCUUACCAAGGCUACGAUCAAUAGCUGAUCUGAGAGGAUGAUCAGCCACAUUGGGACUGAGACACGGCCCAAACUCCUACGGGAGGCAGCAGUGGGGAAUCUUGCACAAUGGGGGAAACCCUGAUGCAGCGAUGCCGCGUGAGUGAAGAAGGCCUUUGGGUUGUAAAGCUCUUUCGUCGGGGAAGAAAAUGACUGUACCCGAAUAAGAAGGUCCGGCUAACUUCGUGCCAGCAGCCGCGGUAAUACGAAGGGACCUAGCGUAGUUCGGAAUUACUGGGCUUAAAGAGCUCGUAGGUGGUUAGAAAAGUUGGUGGUGAAAUCCCAAGGCUUAACCUUGGAACUGCCACCAAAACUUUUUAACUAGAGUGUGAUAGAGGAAAGUGGAAUUUCUAGUGUAGAGGUGAAAUUCGUAGAUAUUAGAAAGAACACCAAUUGCGAAGGCAACUUUCUGGAUCAUUACUGACACUGAGGAGCGAAAGCAUGGGUAGCGAAGAGGAUUAGAUACCCUUGUAGUCCAUGCUGUAAACGAUGUGUGUUAGACGUUGGAAAUUUGAUUUUCAGUGUCGUAGCAAAAGCGUUAAACACACCGCCUGGGGAGUACGACCGCAAGGUUAAAACUCAAAUGAAUUGACGGGGACCCGCACAAGU
rnacentral:rRNA from 1 species